UACGGAGGGUGCAAGCAUUAAUCGGAUUUAUUGGGCGUAAAGAGCACGUAGGCGGAGAGGUCAGUUAGAUGUGAAAGACCAGGACUCAAUCCUGGAAAUGCAUCUAAAACUUCCUCCCUAGAGGGUAGACGGAGAAAAUGGAAUUCCACGUGUAGCGGUGAAAUGCGUAGAUAUGUGGAAGAACACCGGUGGCGAAGGCGAUUUUCUAGUUUAUUUCUGACGCUGAGGUGCGAAAGCAAGGGGAGCAAACAGG
rnacentral:rRNA from 1 species